UACGUAGGGUGCAAGCGUUGUCCGGAAUUAUUGGGCGUAAAGAGCUCGUAGGCGGUUUGUCGCGUCUGCUGUGAAAACUCGGGGCUCAACUCCGAGCUUGCAGUGGGUACGGGCAGACUAGAGUGCGGUAGGGGAGACUGGAAUUCCUGGUGUAGCGGUGAAAUGCGUAGAGAUCGGAAAGAACACCAACGGCGAAAGCACUCUGCUGGGCCGACACUGACACUGAGAGACGAAAGCUAGGGGAGCAAAUGGG
rnacentral:rRNA from 1 species